ACCCGCUGAACUUAAGCAUAUCAAUAAGCGGAGGAAAAGAAACCAACAGGGAUUGCCUCAGUAACGGCGAGUGAAGCGGCAAAAGCUCAAAUUUGAAAUCUGACAGCAAUGUCCGAGUUGUAAUUUGUAGAGGAUAAUUCGGUGUUGACUUUGGUCCAAGUCUUCUGGAACGGAGCACUUUGAAGGGUGAGAGUCCCGUACGAUCAAUUGUUAUUACCAUGUGAAUUUCCUUCGAAGAGUCGAGUUGUUUGGGAAUGCAGCUCAAAUUUGGUGGUAAAUUCCAUCUAAAGCUAAAUAUUGGCCAGAGACCGAUAGCGCACAAGUAGAGUGAUCGAAAGAUGAAAAGCACUUUGGAAAGAGAGUGAAACAGUACGUGAAAUUGUUGAAAGGGAAGCGCUUACAAUCAGACUUGUAUUCAGUUGUUCCGUCGGUUUUUAACUGGUUUACUCAAUUGUUUUCAGGCCAACAUCAGUUUCAGCGGUUGGAUAAAGGUAUUGGGAAUGUGAUUCUUCGGAAUGUUAUAGCCCUUUACAUAAUACAGCCAGUUGGGACUGAGGUCAGCGUUCGCUAGGAUGUUGGCGUAAUGGUUGUCAGCGGCCCGUCUUGAAACACGG
rnacentral:rRNA from 1 species